rnacentral:lncRNA from 1 species
UAUGGUGUUUGCUUGCUCAGACUCAAGAGUGUGCCCAUCCCAUGUGCUUGAUUUCCAACCUGGAGAGGCCUUUGUGGUGAGAAAUGUUGCUAACAUUGUCCCACCAUAUGACCAGGUAUGUCUCCAAAAAAUUCCUAUUGACAUGUCUGAACACAAUUUUUUAUGAUCCAACUCUUAAACACUUCUUUUGUCUGAACACAAUAGUACUCAGACUUACUUUGUUUUACUCUACUGUGCACCAGUCAAAAUACUCUGGAACUGGAGCAGCCAUUGAGUAUGCCGUUUUGCAUCUCAAGGUAUGUUACCAUUCAUUCAUUGGAAGAUAUAUGAGAUGCACAGAAUUUCAGGCACAUUGUACUUUCUGUGUUACUGAUAUGAACACUAAUAAUGGUGAGAAAAUGUCAAGAAUUCUUAACCCAUCUUAUUUGUCUGUAGGUUUCCAACAUUGUUGUCAUUGGACACAGUGCUUGUGGUGGUAUCAAGGGGCUUUUAUCUUUCCCAUAUGAUGGAACCUACUCAACGUAAGUCAUUUUCCUCUGCAUAAAAAUUGGAAUUUUUCAAUCAAUUAGACAUAUAAUUUGAUGCACAAAUUUUACCUACUAGUUCAUUCUUAAACCAUCAUGAUAUCCAACAUUCCACACUAAAUGGUGUAUAUAAACAAAGGAAAAAUCUCAUCUUAUGAGCUAAUUUUUUGAAGUCAAGUUAAACUUAAAACCCAAAAUAAGUUGGUUUCAAAACUUGUGGAUUUACUUCUGAUUUGUUGUAUUCAGUGAUUUUAUUGAGGAAUGGGUCAAAAUUGGCUUACCUGCAAAGGCAAAGGUGAAGACACAGCAUGGAGAUGCACCUUUUGGUGAGCUGUGCACACACUGUGAGAAGGUAAGAGACAUUAGUUCAAGCCACAUGCUAGAUAAAUAUUUUUCAUGAAACUCAUUAUACUUGACUUGUACAUAUAAUAUAAGGACAAAACCAGUUCCAUAAGUAUUUCUAGUACUAUUCUGUUAUCAGAAUUGAAGUUUUACUUCAUUUAUCCAUGUUAUCCUUGAAAAGAAACCAUCAUUAUUCAAAUUGAAGUGCACUGAUUUAUAAGUAAACUAAAUGUAGGUGAUGCUUACAAUUUCAAUUGGAAUUAUAUAUGUGCAGGAAGCUGUUAAUGUUUCCCUUGGAAACCUGCUAACCUACCCAUUUGUGAGAGAUGGCUUGGUGAACAAAACAUUGGCACUGAAAGGAGGAUACUAUGACUUUGUUAAGGGAUCUUUUGAGCUCUGGGGCCUUAACUUUGGCCUUGCAUCCUCUUUCUCCGUAUGAACAUCAACCAUUAUCAAUGACCUCAUCUUGGUUCCCUAAGUAUUCUCCUAUCUAAAAUGUACUCUGUAAUUGCCCUUGUUAUGUAUGACAUGCUUGUGCUGAAUUUCCUAAUAAAAAAAAGUGCAUUGAGAUUUCCAUAGAUCACUCUCUCCCCCCAAAUUGUAGUUCUUCUUCAAGUAAGAAAAAUGUACUGUUUUAUGGUCUUUCACCACUGCAUUUUUCUUCUUUGUUAGGUUAAAGAUGUGGCCACCAUUCUGCAUUGGAAGCUAUAGGCCAUGCUUAGAGGUCGUGUGUCUGCAAUGAAGAGGCCUAGCCACCUUCACCAUAUCAUAUUUUAUAAAUAUAUAUAUGAAACUAUGAACUGUGUUUAUGCAUGUCGGAAAAUCUUCUUUUAAUAAGAGUUGGAAAUCCUCUUGUGUAACCAAAUUUUCUUUCUUCAACCUUCAUCUUUCUAUAUGCCCAAAAUCAUGAGAGGGGAGAGAAAUCACUAUUUUCUCUCUUCUAAAAUAACUUCAGUUUAAAGUUUUUAACAUAAAAUUAAAACAAGAAUAAAUAUGUCACUUCUUAAAGUAACAUCCUUUUCUCAAAAAAUUUCUCUUAUAGACUGCAUGAUGCAAAUACUAACAUAGUUUAAUUGAGAGCAAAUUAUAGUUACAAUCAAAAUUAAUACAAACAUCAGUUAAUUAAAGUUAAUGCAGGCAUUUAGUUUGAAAUCUUUUGAAAAACUAAAACUACAGACAAAAGAAGUAACAUUUAGCAAUGCUAAAACAGUGCCAAAGGUUUUGUGUGAAUUUUUCUUUUGAACAAGUGUUUCUAUGUAAUUCACUCAACUAUAAAUUAAAAAAAAGUUGGUAGUUAACUGAAAUCAUUAGUGAGAACUUGAUAUAAAUUAAUAAUAUAGAGAGAUUUAUCCAAAGUCUUUUGUCAAACCUUUGCAGUCACUUCAACAACUUGCAAUGUUGCAGGCCACUUUUUAUCAUGACCCCAGCUUUUUGUUUUACUCAUUGACUUGGAAAUUUCAUAUGGAAUUUUUAUAAUUUUACCUUCUAGAACUUCAUGUCUCAUAAACUAAAUUUAGAAAGAAUUUCUGAUAUUUACCCCUGAAUAAGUAUUAAAGACAUGUUUAUGAAUUCCAAAAAUUUUAAAAAUAUGGUAAGGUGAAUCUCUUUGGAUUUAGUUUGAAAGCAUUUUGAUGCUCUGCAUUGAAAUUUGGAAAAUCAUGGGAAACAAAUAGCUUUUAGACUGAGUAUUGCAUCCCCCAAGUAUAUAAUGUAUGUAACUUGAACUCUUGAAGGAUGAAUUUAUGUAUUCUAUUCUUAUGAGUAUAUAAUUCCAAAAUCAUUAACAGUUUUGCACCCUGGUGAUAAAUUAACUCUAUCAGAGUGCAUCAAAGAAUAGAUACUUUAUCUCAGCUUUGAUUAUUCAAGUGUGAACAACUCUGGUUUUGGAAUUUUGAGAAGCAUAACAAAAUGGCAGAAAGUGAAAUUCUAACUGUAUUAGCAGUUAAUCAGAUAAGAGCUGAAGCCAACAACAUAUGCAAUUAAGCAUCUAGAAAUUUCAAUUUUAUUAUGUUUUUGAGUUUGAAAAGGAUGAUAAUAAUAAUAUGAGUGAAAUAAUUUUAAGACUAAAAUAAAAAACAAAGAAAAAAGAGUGCUGUUAUUAAUCGAACUGAUAUUCAAAUUUGGCAGAAGUCAUUUUUCCAUUUAUCUUUCUGGUUUUUGUUAUCCAUUCAUUUUCUUUUGGCAUACCCAAAAAGCAAGUCCAAUCUUAGAAAGUGAAAAGUUUGGGGUAAGAUUCUCCUAGUGUUACAUUAUUCUGUUGUUGCUUGUUAAUGUUUUGGUACAAGUGAAGUGUCCAAAAUCAGUAAAAUGUUAUCACUGAGAUGAAAUUUUCAUAAACUUAUGCAGACUUUGAUAUCUUCAAAGAUUUCAUAUGUAAGUUUUACAAGAACUCAAAGAAACACUGGUUUAAGAGUUUCAAAGAGAAGCAACCAGUAGUCUUGUCUUUGCCAUUGCAUUGUUUGCCUAAAAGUGGUAUUAAUUAAUGGUUUAUAGAACUCUUGCUGUAACAAAAUAGCACACUACCAUUAAUGAUUCUUUGACUCUAAAUCACAUUGAACUGUUAGUGAUGAAAGAUAAUACAAUGCAGAAACAACAUCAGUGAUGAUAACGUUGAGUGAGAUGGGUGGACAAAUUUCUCCAAAAACUUCACAAACAACCACCAAAAUUAUUGUAGGAUAUAUGUUAUACUACUAUUUACCAAUGAUUUCAAAAGCUCUAGCCACCUAGAUUGUUCAUAUACAAUGUCAUACGUCCAAGAUUUUGUAGCUUCUCUAACUCAUAUUUUUUCUGGUCAUUGGUUAGAUGCAUUUGUGAUGGAAGGUUGAAUUAGACAUGAGAUUUGAUCGCCAAUAUAAAAAUGUAGGAAAGCUUAGAAAAUGUCGGGUAGAAAUGUUGGAAAACUCGUCAAGAAAUGUGAUCAAAUUAUAUAUAAAAAUGUAGGAAAGUUUAGAAAAUGUUGGGUAGAAAUAUUGGAGAACUUUUUCAUAAAUAUGGUCAAACUAUAAUGGGUGUUUCUCCCUGCACCCUCAACAAAUGGCUUCCUGCACCCCAUCAUUUUCGAAAAAGAUCAUUUUACCCUUUUAAAAAUAACUUUUAGAUUAGUUUUUUUCGAAUAUUUUUGGAAUUUACUUUCCAAAACACAUUCUAUGAAUUCCGGAUUUAUCAUUCCGAAAAUUAAAAAAAUGUGUUUCAGAAAGGAUAUUCCAUAAUGAUUUUUUGUCUUCUAAAUUUUCUAUUCUGGAAACACGAACCUUAUUCCAGAAACACCUUUUGUUUACGGAAUCCCUAUUUCAGAAUCACCCAAAAUUAUUAAGGAUAAUUUUAGUAUUUCAAAGAAUGUAGGGUGCAGGAAGAAAAUUGUAGGGGUGCAUGAAGAAAUACCCAACUAUAAUACAUAGCUGCAUACAUACCUCAAUUUUCCAUGUUGAUUUUAUAUACUUGAAUUACACUUAAAUUCUAAUAUUAGAAAUUUUGUAUUGUCUAAAAAAAUAAUUAAAUUAUAGUACAUACGCAAGCUUUAGCUUUCUUACCAAUAUUAGUUGGAUUUGUGGGGUCAUCUAAUAUCGGACCUCCCUCUGUUUCUUCUAAUUUAAAAAAGGAAAAUAAUAGAUUAAAUUGAAUUUUAUUAAAUAGAUCCAUUUAGAUCAAAUUUUUACUUUCAUUUUUUAAUGAAUUGACUAAUGGAUUUUUUUGUCAUUAUAAUUCAAAAAUAAAAUUUAUUGAAUCAAUGUUGUUUGUCACCUCUACUUAAAUUUAUAGUUGAGAAACUAGAAAUAAUUCUGAAAAUUAUUUCAGUACUUCAAAUUUCAAAAGACUAAAAAGCAUAAUUAAGAAAAAAUAUCACUUACGUUAUUUUGAUUUUACAUUCGUGGUUGUAAACAGUGAUAAAAACAUUCAGUGCUUAAUGUGAUCCCAUAUGGAUCAAGGAGGCACUACCAUUUACAUUGGCAUUUAAGCACCAAAUUGAGGAAUUUAUCUUACAGAAUCAAAUAUAGUUUGAUAAUGUAACAAGGUUUGCUUAGUUACAACAAUGUCAAUCCCUUUGUUUGGUUUUCAGCUAGAAAAUUACAGGCAUCAGAAAGUAAAAUGGAAAAAAAAAAUCAUAUCUGUUUUCCAAUUGAACAUGAUUUUAAACUGAGUUUUAACAUAAUUUUACCUUGAAACUGAGUUUGGAAUGGAUGUAAAGAAAAUUGUUUUCAUAUACUGAGUUCACCUAGAGAAUUCCAUCUAAACUUAAAUUUACACACUUUAAUUCAAACAGUCUUGGUUAUGCAACACCAUCACUUCCCAAGUUGUUGUUUUUUUCUGCUUUAAGUGAAAGCUUCAUGAUCUCAUUAUUUAGUCAUCAAAACAAGCUAGAGUUUUGGCACUGUUUUUUUCUAUUGAACUCUCUCUAACACCCUUUACUAUAAUAAAAAAUGAUGAAAGGAACAAAAACCAUUUCAGAAAAUAGAAUAAAAAUGAGCCACAAUGAGCAUACCCCUUCUAUGAAAUUGUAUGGGGGCAAAAUAGACGUGGCAGAUUAUAUUAAGUUUAAUAGUGAGGAAGUUAAAGGAUGAUGAGCUGUGAGUUCCAUAGUGUGUAUAUAUAUGUACAAUUGGAGAUGUUUAUGAAGUAAGAUACAACUAAAGAAUACCAGUAAAACAGCUUCAUUCAUUCCCUGGCAAUGGCAUAUGAAAUGUAUAUAUACAUGCAGGAUAAUGGAUGAGUUGCAUAUCAUCAUGAUUCAUCAGGUUUUGGCUCCAAAAUGACAGGGAUCUUCUCCUUGUGAUCACCUCUCAAAACCUCCACAAUCACCUGAAUAUCAACAUUAUUAACCAUUAAACUAGGAAUAUAAAGCAGGUUUAAAUGGAUACACAUUGAGUCUCUCGAUGCAAGUUUUUAGCACAGGGUGAGAUGUUUUACAUAGAGGCAAUUUCACAGACCAAAAGUCAGAAAGACAAACCAAGACACAUCAACAACAAGUUUAAAAACAGAUUAAGAAAAUAGAUAGAUGUUCAUAGGAUGGAUUUGGCUUGGUUGUCCCUACUCAGCCUGAACUUUUUAUAAGGUCAUUUAAUCUGAAUUUGUUCUGAACAAGACUCAAGACUCAGCAGCAAUGUAUGGAACACGAUAGAUUCAGGACUUUCUGUUGACAUAAUACAUCAGACUUUUAACAUUAUAUGUAGGUAAAUCAUAAAAUUAAAGUAUGACCUUAAAUUUAAGGUAUAUUUUAAAACACACAUAUAAGUUUAAUUUCUAUCCAGUAAUGUAAAUAUUCUUUACUGUCAGUCAAUAAAUUACUAUCUAAGAUAGUUAUUAUAUAAGCUAACAAAUUUAAGUUACACACAUAUAAGAUAGUUAUUAUAUAACAAAUUUAUCAUACAUAACAAGAUGUGAUUGAUAACAGUAUGAAGAACCUUUACAAUGUAGUGCAUUCUAAUCAAAUUCACAAAAUAUAAUAUCAGAUUUUGUAAAAUGUUACGUUAAGAAGUAUUGUAACUAAUAUUUAUUAAAGAGUGUAUUAAGAAUAUGUGCAUCAAGCCAGGUUGGGAUGAGUGAAGUAUAAUCCAAACUCUUCCUUAAAACAACUUGAUCUAAUUUCUAAAAUCUGAACCUGUUCAAAUUAGCUUUGACUUGAGCUUGGUUAGUCAGACAGAACAGUCUUAAACAGCCAUAAAACGAGAUAACCCUUUUGUUCCAUUCCUCCAAAACUUUCAUUUUUCUGUUGAUUAUUACUAUUCAGACAAACUUAUGAGUUAUUAUGAUACACAAGUUACAAUGAAGGUUGUACAGACAAAAGCAAAUAAGAUAUUUAAUUUGACUCUUUCCAGAGUGCCCAAAUAUUAACAGGGUAUAUUAUAUACUACCUCCAUGACUACAAUUUAAGGGUUUCUUUACAUAGAUUAAGAAUAACAAUAAAUAUGCUGCCAUGUCAACCGGAUGCUCAAACACAAGAUGAAGCUAUUUGAAAAUGUUCUUACAUCCCUUUUUUUAUUUGCUUUGGAAAUCCAGUCCAGGAUUUAAUAAUAGUUUUGAAAACAAUAGAGCAGUUGAAUCAGCACCAUACCUUUUCCCCCACUUUACACUGGUCAAGAAUUCUGUACAAAUCACUUCCAUUAGUGACCUUCUUGUCAUUCACAGAUGUUAUGAUGUCACCUAAAAUGAGUCUACCAUAAGAGUCACGCUUUGUUGAUUGCAAGCCCUGAAAAGUAGAAAUUAGACAGGCUCCAUUGAAAAAUUGUAACUAAGUAAAUUAAGAUAAAGCAAUACAACAUUAGUUUUAAUGUGAAAAUGAAGCUUAAGACAUGUUAUUGGCAUUAAAAUUUUGAGUGACCAGCUUUAGGGCGGUGCUAAAGAGGCUUAUGUUAACAAGAAAUCUAUGCUACUAUUUGGUUCAUAUAGCUGAAAUUUCGAAAUGAAUUUCCUCUCUUACAUAAAAAUAAUAUAUGAACAAACUUACUGCUUUUCCAGCAGGACCAUUGGCAGGAGCAUCUAAGACCAGCACUCCACUUACACCCAACUGCUCCACAGACUGAUCUGGAGCAAACUUAAUCCCUAAAAUAGGUCUUGUAACCUUCCCAAACUUCACCAAUUGGUCAACAAUACCAUUUACCUAAAUAUAUAGAACAACAAGCACAUUAGCAAUUUUAUUUAGAGGAUCUCUAUGUUUCCAUCAAAAGUUGUCCCCUGAAGAAAGAAUUGGAUAUAUAAAUUAAAACCAGGUCAAAGUAAGAACUCACAGUGUCCACUGGAAUAGAAAAUCCAACACCAGAGGACGCACCAGAUGGAGAAUAUAUGGCUGUAUUUAUCCCAAUGAGGUUUCCAGAACUAUCUAAGAGAGGCCCUCCACUGUUACCAGGAUUAAUUGCUGCAUCUGUCUGUAUAACAUCUUGAAUUGGACGACCAGUUGCAGCAGAACUAAUUUCUCGCCUAAGUCCACUAUUGAAGAGGUAUGUAUGUAUUAGUGAAACGCAAUCAACAGAAAAGAAACAUAAAAAAGAAAAAACAGAGUAUCCAGCUUUCAAGUUACUAAGUAUCAGCAUAAUGGUGUGAACUUUUGAAAAACAGUAUUAACCUAAGGAAUACCAUGCUUAAAAGAGUAGAUUUUGUAUGAACUAUGACACAUCUUUAUUCAGGAAAGGGAUUAAUGGCAUAAUGGCAUCCCACUAGAAGAAAAAAAAAUUGAUUUCUACAAUAAGAUUUUCCCACAAGUCCAUUAUAAAAGUUAAUCAUCCCAACAAAUAUUUAUAGGAAAAGGAAUGAAUUAAGUACAACUAAUCAAACUUUUUCAUAAGUUAAAAUCAACUUAUGUGCACGUAAGCAACAGAUGCAGUCACAUUUUUUGGCACAAUAAUAUCUUCCAUUCAUCUUCUCAGAUGUUUCUAAUUUUAAAUUUGCAAUACAAUGCAUGUCAUCAUGAAAACUACCCCAGAAAGUGACAUUGGGAACAAGAAAGCAACAGUUGCUACUUCUACACUCCUAAAUAUAAAAUGUUUGAUUGACAAAUAUAUAAUCUGACACAAGGAAAGGAAAAGGAAUACCAAAGUAGAAACUGUGUUUUUUAGGUAAUGAGAGUUACAUCAAAAUAUUCACUUCACAGUUUUAAGUUUCAUACCUGAUAACCCCAGUUGUGAGUGUGUGAUCUAGUCCAAACUGCAAGAUAAGAAUGAAUGAGGAAUCAUAUUCGCAUAUUCAAGAAGAGUUGAACGUAUCAAUCAUCAACAAAAAAAAUAGCAAUUAAGCCAUGAAUACAGCUCCAUGAAGCAGUUUGGCAGCAAUUACAAGGUACCAACAAUGACAAUUUACCAAUUUAGUAAUUUUCUUUUUAUCUUUUAUAGAAAGGUCUGUUUUGUUUUGAACUCGCCCCUAUUUACACAAUUGAAUUGCGCAUUCAAAAAAAUAUAUAACAUGUGAAAACACUAAUAUUUCUAUAUAGAGAUAUGCACGACAGAAUAACUUAGAUCUCCAAUGCAUUUUUAACAUAAAUUUUUGCAUACACAUUUACAACAGGAGCAGGAAAUGCUGAUUAAAUAAGUAUAUACUUAUGCAAUCUAUAUGUUAGAUUAAAUUAGACAACUGUUAAAAAUAUGAUUUAAACAAAAUCUCCUCGAUUAGCUAAAGCUCAUCAUUUCUUUAUAUUGGAAAAAUCAUAGAUAAUGAAUAUAUAUAACACAAAUGCAUUGAUCGGUAUGAACAUCUCACCGGGUUCCCAAUAGCAUAAACCUUCUGACCAACAAGCAAGUCAGCAGAGACCCCAAUAGGUAUAGGCCUGAGCUUGUCUUUUGGUGCCUCAACAUGCAGCACAGCAACAUCCUUGUCUUGGUCAAAACCAACAACUUUGGCAUCAUAAGUUGACUGGUCAGCUAGAGUGACCCUGCACAUAACUAGCAUCUCUUUGAAUAGGAGUAAUCUAAUCACUUCACUGAAGUCAUCCCAACACAUACAUCAAUCUACCACCAAACUUUCUAUUGAUUGAAUUCACUUCUUAAUGCCAGGAAAAGUUGCCAUGCAAACACAGCCAUACAUGUUGAAGGAGGUGCAAAUGUGCAAAGUAACACAUAAUUAUCACCUCGCUUUUGUUUCAAUACAAGGCUACUUAUACACCCUCUGUCCUAGAUUAUAACACAUUGUUUUGAAAUUCCUUUGUCCUUUUCUAAUUAUCCCCUUUUUUUUACCAAAAUAUCCUUAAUUAUUCUAUUUCAUAAAUAAAGAAUAAAUUCUAUGAAUUGUCUCUAUCUCUCUUAUGAAGAUAGGAGAAUUGGAGGGCUAAGUUUUAAAAUUUAAAGCUUCACUACUAUUAUUGUCUCUCAACUCAAUCCAUUAAUUGUUUAAGGGAAAGUUUGAAAAAACUUUACAAUUACUGCAAACUUAACGUUACUAACUAAAUUAACCAACUUUCUUAAUAAGUGUAAAUUAGUCAUCAAAAUUUUAUAUUUAGGGAUUGUAGGAGUAUAAUUCAUUUAGCAAUAGAUAUGUCACAUUGCACAUAAUAUAAAAUAUUUGGCUGCAUAACUAAAAAGUUCCCAUUUGUCAGCAUAAUACCACUCAAAGGUCAAAACCAGACAUGUUCCCAUCUCUGACUAGCAGCGGCGAAAAAUAAAAAGUACAAGUUUGAGAAACUGGAUCAAAAGAUUCCAAAAGUAAAAAUUAAUUAAAUACACUGAUAGGAUAAAAAAGAAUUCCCAUAUAUAUAAGAUUGUUGCCUUUUGUAAUAAUUAUUUUAAAAAUCAUAUCUAGAAUGACUUUUUAAUGGCUAACAGUGUAAAAAAAUAAUUUUGUUAGAAUACACAGCUAUCUAUCAUGACGGAUGAAGAUACAUAUCUAAAAUGUA